rnacentral:miRNA from 1 species
GCGGCAUGGUAUUAGAGCAAGUUG